rnacentral:lncRNA from 1 species
GUUGAAAGACUCGAAAACACAGUAAGCAUGGAAAACAAUAUGACUGAAAAUGAUUGAUAACUAAAGAAAAUCAAACAUCAAUACUGUAAUGUGCGCAGAAGAAAGGACCAGAAAAUGAGAGAAAUCCAAGAUGAUGAACUACAGUGAAAACUUUCCAAGCCCAGGGUUAUAUAGGCAAAAAAUCCCAUUAUGAGGUGGCUAGGAGGACACAAUAGAUGACAGAAUCUAGAAUGUUUGUUGUCGUCUGAUCUCAUCCACUCUCUUCCUUGGCUUCGUACUGAUAAUGAGAGAAAUCCAGACCAAAGGAUUGGGUCACCCACUGCCAGAGUUUCCAGAUGAGCAAGCUGUCGACUGUGAAAGAUCAGCUUGCUGUGGUCUCUGGCUUUUUGCUUGCUGUGCAUGAAGAUGUCACUGCACAAGGCUUCGCCCGGAGUCUUUCUGGACGCAUUCAAAGACUCCUCUCCUCCCUUCUCCAGGCCUUCUGCCAGCUUCUUUGGCCCCACCACAAGAUCUCGGAGAGCCUCCUUUUCUUCCCGUUGCCUUCACAAUGCCAGCUAUACUUUGCAUACAGGAGUGCGAAGAUCAAGUCGAACAAAUCCUUCCUCCCCAACAAGUUGCCAAAAAUCAUUAAGGAUGAAAGCAAUCAAACAAAAUCAUAUUUCCAAUAGAGUUUGCUAUGUUAUAAGAAUUGCAGAGAAAUCCAACUGUUGGUUUUAUCAGCAAAUCAUAUGGCUGGUAGGGGUGCAGUGGAAAUACCUUGUAUUUUUGCCUGGAGAAGUACCUGGUACGAAUACGUUCCUGAAAAGAGAGAACUUGCCAACGUUGGGAGACGAGGAAGUAGAACACGUGAGCAGCCGAAUAUCUACUACAUACGUUAGGUCAGGGACAUAGAGGCUGGAUCUGCAAAAGCCCAGUGAGUAACUAUGAGCAGGAUAAAGCUUGUCAUCUCCUCCUUUAUCUUUUACCUUAAAAAAACAAAAACAAAAGCAAAACAAGAAAAAUAAAAACCACCUGAGUCGGACUCUUGCUUAGCUCUCUACAUAGGUACUCUAAUCUCUGAAGGAGUUCUGGGCUAACUACUGGUAAUAUAUCAUUUAUCAACCUUAAAUUUACCGAGCCUAUCUCCUUUUCCAUGUAGCUGAAGGCAGGAUUGGCAGGGGUGUUCAACCCCUAACUUUUCAGUGUCCUGUUCUGGAUCUCUCAGGAUGAAGACUACAUCUCCAAACAUUCCUCCUUCUGUGCAGAAAGAGCAGCCUUGCAGACAUCUGGUAUGGUAACCCUCCCCAAGCAGCACCAGUCAUGUUCUGGGAACCAAAGUGCCCCUCACAGCGUAAGGACCUCUCUGAUGCAGUGCCAUAGAAUCAGUCCUGAAAGGCCCCAGAUUCAAUCCCCAAAACCACAAAAAGAAAAACCAAACAAACAACAAAAGAAAAUUCAGUGGGGAAGUUUAGAAGACUGAGGUUUUCAG